GACGAACGCUGGCGGCGUGCCUAAUACAUGCAAGUAGAACGCUGAAGCGAAGAGCUUGCUCUUCUUGGUUGAGUUGCGAACGGGUGAGUAACGCGUAGGUAACCUGCCUUGUAGCGGGGGAUAACUAUUGGAAACGAUAGCUAAUACCGCAUAACAAUGGAUGACCCAUGUCAUUUAUCUGAAAGGGGCAAAUGCUCCACUACAAGAUGGACCUGCGUUGUAUUAGCUAGUAGGUGAGGUAACGGCUCACCUAGGCGACGAUACAUAGCCGACCUGAGAGGGUGAACGGCCACCCUGGGACUGAGACAAGGCCCAGCAUCCUACGGGAAGGAGCAGUAGGGAGUACUCGGCAAUGGGGGCAACCCUGACCGAGGAAAGACGCGUGAGAGAAGAAGGUUGUCGGAUCGGGAAGCUCGGUUGUAAGUCAAGGACGAGUGUGAGGGUGGAAAGUUCACACUGUGACGGUAGCUAAUGAGAAAGGGACGGCUAACUACGGG
rnacentral:rRNA from 1 species